rnacentral:misc_RNA from 1 species
GGAAUCUCAUAUAUGGGAUUGUGGAAAACAAGUUUAUCUAGGUGGAUUUGAUACUGCUCAUGCAGCAGCUCGGGCAUACGAUAGGGCAGCCAUAAAAUUCCGGGGAGUAGAAGCCGACAUAAACUUUAGCUUAGAAGAUUAUGAGUCCGAUUUAAAACAGAUGACAAGUUUAACAAAGGAAGAAUUUGUGCAUGUGCUUCGAAGACAAAGUACUGGUUUUCCGAGGGGAAGCUCCAAGUAUAGAGGGGUGACUUUGCACAAAUGUGGUAGAUGGGAAGCUAGA